rnacentral:rRNA from 1 species
UACGUAGGUGGCAAGCGUUGUCCGGAUUUAUUGGGUUUAAAGGGUGCGUAGGCGGUCAUGUAAGUCAGUGCUGAAAUAUCCCGGCUUAACCGGGAGGGUGGCAUUGAUACUGUAUGACUUGAGUAAAGUUGAGGUUGGCGGAAUUGACGGUGUAGCGGUGAAAUGCUUAGAUAUCGUCAAGAACACCUAUUGCGAAGGCAGCUAACUAAGCUUUAACUGACGCUGAGGCACGAAAGUGUGGGGAUCAAACGGG